CGUGUUUUAGGGGUCCUACAUUCUCCAAUUUUUAUAAAAUUAGUACAUUGUUUACAAUCAGAAAAUAAGUCCCUUGGAACUUGGACCAGUGAGCACUGUAAUCAGCGUUCACCUGCGUUGGUUUUUCUUUCUACAUAUUUGUGUGCCUGGGUUCUUAGGAGCUCCUGCUGCCCUCCCUGUCUGCCAGUUCCAGGAGGCUUGCUGACCAGCUUAGCCUUUCACGCUCUCUCAGAUCCUGCUGGCCGUGUCUCCUCUCUCCCAAGAGCUACGUGUAAAACAUGAAUGAUGUGGAGAAGGAGAUCUGGGGAAAGGGAAAGGAAGAGAACAAGGAGGAGGGAGUAAGAGGUCAGAGCUCACACAUACACAAGAACAAAAGGACUGCAAAUUGGGAUGUCUCUCCACAGCAACCUUCCCUUCUUCCCUUUGAAAAGUCGAUGCUGAACCAUCUGUCAUCUCUCAGGGACUCCAGCUCCAGGCUGGCUUGGACCAAGUGAGAGCUGCCUAGCCAGUCACUCAUCAGUCCGUCCUAGGGCUGCCUCUGUGCAUUCAUCCUGCUUUCCCCAGGUGGGACAUUCCGCUGCCUUUGGGGCUUCACACCCCAAUUAUUUAUUAAGGAGACAGAAAAGAAUUGUUGAUAAAGGCCGUGGCUGGAGAGCAGGAAGUAGCCAUGGGCUGCUGCAGGGGUGGGCUCCUGCUUAGCAAAUGUUAGACCAGGUUUGUCUUGCUGCUGUUUUUAUUUUGUUUGGACACUUUUUACUGUUGUUAUUUCACACAUCCAAAGAUGAUAUGUGCCCUAAUUGCAUUUCCACAGCACCUUUGACAAUUCUGAGAAUCUAUUAAUUUUUUAAAUUCAAGCCUUGGCAUUAGAGGUUCCUACAAUAUUUGAGUCUGGUUUGUAUGUGAAGGUGGGUUGGGGUUGAGGAGUCUGUGAAUAAUAUAUGCAAUUUAUAACUAUCUGUGAAACUGAAAAUAAAAUAGGUUGUAUGUGCAUGUCUGUGUGUGUGUGUGUGUGAGUGUGUAUGAGAGAGAGAGAGAGUGAGUAUGUUGGGGGAAAAGAGUGACUGUAUUUACAUCCUCUAUUUGGAAUUUAGAGUUUUAAGUGAAAGUUGGUCCCUUUAUCUAACCUGUCAACAUUAUAGAUG
rnacentral:lncRNA from 10 species